AGAACUGUUGUUAAGGAACUCGGCAAAAUGACCCCGUAACUUAGGGAUAAGGGGUGCCACCAUCAGGUGGCCGCAGAGAAUAGGCACAAGCGACUGUUUACCAAAAACAUAGGUUUCUGCUAAGUCGAAAGACGAUGUAUAGGAGCUGACGCCUGCCCGGUGCUGGAAGGUUAAGGGGAUCUGUUAGAGUAAUCGAAGCAGUGAACUUAAGCC
rnacentral:rRNA from 1 species